rnacentral:sRNA from 1 species
GCCAGGCGAGGUGGCGCACGCCUGUAAUCCUAGCAGCUGGGGAGGCUGAGGCAGGAGGAUCACGAGUUCAAAGCCAGCCUUAGCAAAAGAGAGUCACUAAGCAACUCAGUGAGACCCUGUCACUA